GACGAACGCUCGCGGCGUGCUUAACACAUGCAAGUCUCGCGGGCUUGGAGCAAUCCAAGUCAGCGGCAGACGGGUGAGUAACACGUGGGUAAUCUACCCUUGAGUGUGGAAUAACACAGGGAAACUUGUGCUAAUACCGCAUGACACCGUCCGGUCAUUGGAUCGGGCGGUCAAAGCUGGGGAUCGCAAGACCUGGCGCUUGAGGAGGAGCCCGCGGCCGAUUAGCUUGUUGGCGGGGUAAUGGCCCACCAAGGCUCCGAUCGGUAGCCGGCCUGAGAGGGUGUCCGGCCACACUGGGACCGAGACACGGCCCAGACUCCUACGGGAGGCAGCAGUGGGGAAUUUUGGACAAUGGGGGAAACCCUGAUCCAGCAAUGCCGCGUGUGUGACGAAGGCCUUCGGGUUGUUAAAGCACUUUUGUCGGGACGAAACGGACGCUUCUAAUACAGAGUGCUAAUGACGGUACCCGCACGAAUAAAGACACCGGCGUAACUAACGUGCCACGCAGCCGCGGUAAACG
rnacentral:rRNA from 1 species